CCUACGGGCGACUGCAGUAGGGAAUAUUGCUCAAUGGGGGAAACCCUGAAGCAGCAACGCCGCGUGGAGGAUGAAGGUUUUCGGAUUGUAAACUCCUUUUGUUAGAGAAGAUAAUGACGGUAUCUAACGAAUAAGCACCGGCUAACUCCGUGCCAGCAGCUGCGGUAAUACGGAGGUUGCAAGCGUUACUCGGAAUCACUGGGCGUAAAGAGCGCGUAGGCGGGAUAGCAAGUCAGAUGUGAAAUCCUAUGGCUUAACCAUAGAACGGCAUUUGAAACUGUUAUUCUAGAGUAUGGGAGGGGGAGGUGGAAUUCGUGGUGUAGGAGUAAAAUGCGUAGAGAUCAAGAGGAAUACUCAUGGCGAAGGCGACCAGCUAGAACAUAACUGACGCUGAUGCGCGAAAGCGUGGGGAGCAAACAGGAUUAGAUACCCGAGUAGUC
rnacentral:rRNA from 1 species